rnacentral:rRNA from 1 species
UACGUAGGGUGCAAGCGUUGUCCGGAAUUAUUGGGCGUAAAGAGCUCGUAGGCGGUUUGUUGCGUCGGCUGUGAAAUCCCGAGGCUCAACCUCGGGUCUGCAGUCGAUACGAGCAAACUAGAGUGUUGCAGGGGAGACUGGAAUUCCUGGUGUAGCGGUGAAAUGCGCAGAUAUCAGGAGGAACACCGGUGGCGAAGGCGGCAUCCUGGACCAUUACUGACGCUGAGGCGCGAAAGCUAGGGGAGCAAACGGG